GCAAGUCGAACGGCAGCGAGGAGGACUUGUCCUCUGUCGGCGAGUGGCGAACGGGUGAGUAAUACAUCGGAACGUACCAAGUAGAGGGGGAUAACCACCCGAAAGGGUGGCUAAUACCGCAUAAGCUCUGAGGAGGGAAGUAGGGGACCGCAAGGCCUUACGCUAUUUGAUCGGCCGAUGUCGGAUUAGCUAGUUGGUGGGGUAAUGGCUCACCAAGGCAAUGAUCCGUAGCGGGUCUGAGAGGACGAUC
rnacentral:rRNA from 1 species